CAGCGGGUCCCAGCUGACGGAAGGUGGGGGAGGAGUGCGAGGGUCUCUGAGACAGGUUGGGAGCCAGCCCCACCUCCAUUUCCAAAGCGGGGGUCCAGGCACAGGAACAGCCAAACGCCCGAACCAGCGGGGUUACCUUUGCCACUUCAUCCAAUCCGAGCAUCGGCUGGAAACUGGGAAGUUUGUCAGACAAAGCUCUUCAGGUUACUGGCAAUUUAUGUGCUGGGAGGUGGAUUUGUGGGCAGAGCUCCGGCUGACCUGGUGUUGUCCUGCUAUGGCUACAGACUUCUGACUAUGCUUAUCAGAAAAACUUUCAUUUGGUUCAAGGAUUUUUGCUGACAAGUUUAUUUAAUCCCUGAACCUGGAUCCAAGGCAUCUCCCUGUAGAAAACAUCAGACCGGGGCAGAGAUUGACAAAGCAACCCAAAGCAGCAGCUGCCAACGGCCGCUGUGCCCACCUCAUCAGCAGCUAAAGAGUAUAAUUUUAAAAAAAGUCACAGAAGAAUGUGGAGACACUUAGCAAAACGGACUCUCAUAAGAUUUGAGGAAACUCCUAAGGUCCCUCCAGUGUACAACAAUUUGGAACUUCCAUUUUCUCAACAACUGCUCUUCCAAGAUGCUGCCUCAUUUCAGAGCCAUGUUUUACUCAUGAGCUGGUCCUGUCCAGAAAACAGCCAAUGCUCAUUCCCGACACUUUCUUGUCACUGCUCUUUUCUGUUCCCUAUUUUGUCAGUAAGGAAGUAAACAACCGCUAAAACAACCCUCUAACAACAGAAGACCCUCAUGAGAACACCAGGCAGCAGAAGCUUCUUUAGCAGUAAAAGAUAUCUGGAUAUUCAUAUUUUGUUCCAUGAUCUUCAACAUUAAAUAAAUAAACUUAAUAUUCAAGUCU
rnacentral:lncRNA from 1 species